ACUUAUAUUAUUGUGAUGUUGUUUAUUUUUACUUUUUUUUGUUUGGAUAAUUUUUAGAUGUUGAUGUACUUCUAUAUAUGCGUAUUAUAUACCGUAUGUGACUGAUGUGAUCUUUGACUAUACAUGUUUGUUAACAUCUUCGGUAUAUAUACUCACAUGCUUGCAUAAUGCUCUGAAAGAAGGAACGAACCACACACUUGAUUUACCAGAGGAAGGAUGGGUAAAGAUAAGUACUAUGUUGUGCUCGUUGGACGUCAUCCAGGAAUAUAUGUCACAUAGGACGAUGCUCGAGUAGAGGUGAAGGACUUCAGUGGGGACAGACACCGAGCCUUUCGGAAUUAGAAGGAUGUUGUGGCUUACAGGGAAAAUUAUUUCGGUAUCCCAGACCAACAAGGAAGUGGUGGAGAAGUCCAUGUCAACUGAUGAUCUUGCCACAUCGGAUGGCGAGAGAGUCGUCUCCAUUUUGAUUAGCGUGUUGGCUAUUUUCUUUGCGUUGCUUAUAAUUUUAAAAUUUUAGAUAGUAUUGAUGUGGUAACUUCGAGGAUAUUUCUGUUGGAUAUUUGUGUUUUUUUGUGGUCAU